rnacentral:rRNA from 1 species
GACGAACGCUGGCGGUGCGCCUUAUGCAUGCAAGUCGAGCGAAGCUUCUCUGUAGUUUACUACCGAGAAUGACUGAGCGGCGAACGGGUGAGUAACGCGUGAGCAAUCUACCUUAGUUACAGGGAUAGCCCGAGGAAACUCGGAUUAAUACCUGAUAUUCUUUAAAUUUCGCAUGAAAUUAAAAGGAAAGGUCAGCCGAACUAAGAUGAGCUCGCGUUCUAUCAGCUAGUUGGUGAGGUAAUAGCUCACCAAGGCUACGACGGAUAGCUGGUCUGAGAGGACGAUCAGCCACACUGGGACUGAGACACGGCCCAGACUCCUACGGGAGGCUGCAGCAGGGAAUAUUGUGCAAUGAGCGAAAGCUUGACACAGCGACACCGCGUGUGGGAUGACGGAUCUAGGUUUGUAAACCACUUUCAGGAGGGAAGAAAAUGACGGUACCUCCACAAGAAGCCCCGGCCAACUACGUGCCAGCAGCCGCGGUAAUACGUAGGGGGCGAGCGUUGUCCGGAUUUAUUGGGCGUAAAGAGCUCGUAGGCGGUUCAACAAGUCGGUCGUGAAAGUUCAGGGCUCAACCCUGAAAUGUCGAUCGAUACUGUUGUGACUAGGAUACGGUAGAGGUGAGUGGAAUUCCGAGUGUAGCGGUGAAAUGCGUAGAUAUUCGGAGGAACACCAAUUGCGAAGGCAGCUCACUGGGCCGCUAUCGACGCUGAGGAGCGAAAGCUAGGGGAGCAAACAGGAUUAGAUACCCUGGUAGUCCUAGCUGUAAACGAUGGAUACUAGACGUAGGAACUGGAUUGACGGUUUCUGUGUCGCAGCUAACGCGUUAAGUAUCCCGCCUGGGGAGUACGGUCGCAAGACUAAAACUCAAAGGAAUUGACGGGGCCCCGCACAAGCGGCGGAGCAUGCGGCUUAAUUCGAUGAUACCCGUAGAACCUUACCUGGACUUGACAUAUAGGGUCAAGCUAUAGAAAUAUAGUGUGCAUUAGCGCCCUAUACAGGUGGUGCAUGGCUGUCGUCAGCUCGUGUCGUGAGAUGUUGGGUUAAGUCCCGCAACGAGCGCAACCCCUGUCCUAUGUUGCCAGCAUUUAGUUGGGGACUCAUAGGAGACUGCCGGUGAUAAACCGGAGGAAGGUGGGGAUGACGUCAAGUCAUCAUGCCCCUUAUGUCCAGGGCUGCACGCAUGCUACAAUGGCAAGUACAACGAGUCGCAAUACCGCGAGGUGGAGCAAAUCUCUUAAAGCUUGUCUCAGUUCGGAUAGGAGUCUGCAACUCGACUCCUUGAAGUUGGAGUCGCUAGUAAUCGCAAAUCAGCAAUGUUGCGGUGAAUACGUUCUCGGGGU